GGAAACAGCAACAAGUCAGCAGUCUGUCACCUGGAGGAGGGACUUCGCCAGAACCCAACCCUGCAGGCACCCUGGUCUCAGACUUCCAGCCUCCAGAACUGCUUCCAGUGUAGUGGGAUUCCCACGCCCCAAACAGAUGUCAGCUGUUUUAUCCUCUUGCCUGGAAAAGGCAGAAGAGAGCCAUGUGGCUGCCCUGCUCAGCCCUCUUGCAGCCCCUAUCUCCCUGAUGGGAAGAGACACCUACAAGCACCAACCUGGUAGAACUUUGAAGCCACAUGAAUUUCAGAAAACUAAAAUUGCGACUGAUGAUUGUGAUGUCUUCACCGACAUAGCCCAUCAGGUCUCCCUAGAUCAAUCAAAGGAAUGGUUUGUUGAACCCUGAGCACUGGGCUAUGUUGGGAGACGGAGAGGAAAAGGGAACCAGAUCCUGCUUGCAAGGGCUUAUGGAAACACGCUUGUCAAGGCAACGACUAUGCACGACAAACCAAAGAAAACCGAAAGACAGUCUGGAAUCAAGAUCUCCUUGCCUGGAUUCUCAGCUGCCUCCCUCCCUG
rnacentral:lncRNA from 1 species